AACCAAUGGGCCCCUCCAUUUGGGAUGGGAAAAAGGAUUCAUUCCUUAGUAUGUGCAGCUGCAUUGGUUGCCUGCAGUGGUCGGCAUCAGCAGCGGUACGAGGGCGGUUGUCGCCUUGUCGCCGGGUAUUUGCUUUCGUAGUUUUCCUAAACAAUUUUUAUGUGUACAUUCGUAUUUGUAUAGGUAUAUGUGUUUGGAUAUGAUGAUUUAUGAGGUCGUCAAAUGUUUGAUAAUGCCAUUAUCACUUAAUGGGUUAUCUUUUAGAUUUUCUUAGUAAAAGGUUAAUGGUGUUAUGUACACACUGGUGUUCCACUAAUAAUCUUGUUUUUUAAGCUUUAUGGGGAUUAAUUAUUUUUUUCUCGUAAUGUAAUUGGCCAUUUUGGUUACAUUUUUCUUCUCAUGGGUGUUUUGUGGGACGUGUUUAUAUCAUUCGUCUCUGAUUUUCUCUCUCUCUUUCGGGCACUGACUUUGAAAGUGAAUAGUUGGUGAGGUGAUGCAUUAUUGAUUGUAGGAUGAAUUCUAUUGGCGGGGUUUACAAAUAUUAGUUGUGAAAGGAGUUGUUGAGCAUAUUCUUCUAGAAAGGAUUUGAUAUGGCAGAGUUCCUUAGACUGUUACUAAUUUCUCUUAAAUGUUCUAAGUCCUCUUUUUUAUUUUAAAAUCACUGCAUUAGAGAUGCUAAUAUUUACUUCCCCUUAAGCUCUCUCUUAUUUGAUUCUCUUCUAUUUUCGAAUGAUUUUAAUUGCCAAUUGCAAAAUAUAAAGGAAUACGAAUCCUAUACUCAAACAAUGUUUAUUUCUUAAUAUUUUCUUAAUAUUAAGGGAUGUGCAUGUUGAGGAUUCCUGUAAUUGUUCUGUAUGGCAUUUUUUUAAUGGUUAUACACAGUGCAUGGCCCUCUCUGCUUAGCAGCGAGAUGGGGAUAGAUUAUUCAACUUAAGCUUAGCCAAUUUCUUUAUUUCUUUGUGUAUUCUCCCGAAAUUUUGGCGUGUCACUUUUUUUUCCUUCGCAUUUUCUUUUUGGAUGGUAAUAUCUUUUGUUUUCUGUGAAUUCAUAUUGUGUCUGCUGAAUCGCUGGCUGUUGGGAGCUAAAUAGUGAAAAGCUUAACAUUUAUGCCAAAACAUUUUGUAUCAGCUCUGAGAAUGUUGCUGAUGCUUUUGAUGGAUGGUGCAAAAAAAAAAAAAAAUAUUGUUGUUUGAUCUUGAAUCACUAACUCUGCAGGUUAUGUUGGCAGGUGUAUUCCUUUUAGGUAUAGAAAUUACUAUGAAAAUGGUGAUACCGAUGCUGAGAAGAUUGUUGAGGUUCUUAUGAUCAACUCAACUAGUGGACCAGGUCUCUUGUUUCCAAAGAUGUUUGAAGAAUCACUGCCCAUGCUAAUCCAUUACAUGGUUUGAAUCUUGAAA